AUGGAGGAACUAUUGUCAGCAUUACAGAUACCAGAUCUUGGAGAUCCGGUGCCUUCCAUUGCAGAAUCAGAGUCUGGUGAUGAACCAGAUGAAGUUGUCAUGAAAUUAUCCAUCCAUGCUGUCACUGGCACCUCUUGCAAAGAAAGUGUUAAAUUACAAGGUAUGAUUGGGAAAACACAUCUGCUCAUUCUAGUGGACUCAGGUAGUUCCAAUAGUUUUGUUAGUGAGAAAUUGGUGCAACAACUCCAGUGUCUAGUGGAAAACUUGCCAGCAGCUACUAUUAAGGUGGCUGGUGGGGGCACUCUCACUUGUACACAACAAGUUAGAGAUUUGCAAUGGUGGUGCCAGGGCACCUGUUUCAGUACCUCUCUCAAAGUCUUACCUCUGGAAAGCUAUGAUAUUAUCUUAGGUAUGAACUGGCUGGAAAUCAUGAGCCCUAUGUGGGUAGAUUGGAAACUGAAGAUCAUGAAGUUUGAGCAUCAGGGCACUGAAAUCAAAUUGCAAGGCAUAUCUGACAGAAUUCAGAGUUGCACACCCUUAUCUGGUAAACAAUUGCAUGGGCUCAUUCAAUCUGAUGCUGUAGAACAUGUGAUAUAUCUGAAUUAUGUCACUACAGUACGUAGGCCACAGACAGAAUGUCCCUUAUCGGUGCAGAAGCUUAUUGAAGCUCAUAAACAAUUGUUUCAAGAACCUGGAGGGGUAACAUAG
rnacentral:rRNA from 1 species